ensembl:lncRNA
AGCUCCGUGCGGUCGCUGUCACGCUGGGCCGCUCGCCACUUGACUGGACUCUGACACCCAACGGAGACAAAGACAGAUGGAGGUGGAUUGUUGGUCCUGAUCCGACAGCUCUCUGCCCCCCCCCCCUCGCUUUUCCUCACUGGGGACUCGAGGUUUUCACCGAUCACGAUGAACUGUUCGCCUCGGCGCCUGACCGAGGGAUGACGGACGGUGGCGGGCAGGAAGCCGGAGGUGUCGCACGGAGAAACGGGAAGUGGGUCCCCAGCAGCUUCGGAUCUCCUCGUGUUUCAGUGUGAAGAAGCAGAACUUGCUUCCUCUCUGAAGUCCGUCAUGAGCAGAGGACCUCGGGACGUCUGUGGAAACAUGUGGAGGUCACACGUCUGGCCAAGUGAAAAGGCCGUCUUCAUUAACAUGCAGGGCCCGCCGCUUCCUCUGAAACGGGCCUUUGUGUCCCGGCGGGCGCAGCGGCUCCGGGGCGGAGGUCCGGGCGGAGGUCCAGGCGGAGGUCCAGGCGGAGCCCUCGGCGUCCCACCAACGUCUCCGCUGGGGAAGAAGCUGUGGUGUAUCGUGUGGUUCCUGCAGAGGAACUCAUCUGAAGGAGGAGAAGAGUCAGGGUCCAGGUCUCAUUAAAUACAGAUCAUUGUAGCUCCUCUCAUCACCUUUCCAUUAAAAAUAUUAUUGCAAAAGCUCUCAAAU